AGAGGGACGGGAGAGGAGAGAGAGGGACGGGAGAGGAGAGGAGGGGGACAGGAAAGGAGAAGACAGGAGAGAGAGGGGAAUGGUAGAGGAGAGGAGAGGAGAGGAGAGGAGAGGAGAGGAGAGGAGAGGAGAGGGGAGUGUGGUGGUAAUGCAUUAUUUCCACUGGUUCCUCGGUCCACCCUGCUGCCAGAGCAGACUAGAACAGAUUGACUACAACACAUUGUCCAGCUUGUUCCGAUCCGUUCUGCCUUUUUCUGCGCCUCAGCCAAGGAAAGACCUUCUCUUUUAAAUCACUCCGUUUUUAUACUCGAACCCCCUGGGCGUCAGCCAUGUCGUCGGCUUUGUCGCAACACAAACAAGGACGUCUGCUGUCUCCUGUCCAUACCCCUCGGCCCCCUCCCCUCGUCAAGACUACCCACUGGACUUGUCCUAGCACCUACCUUCCUUCCUUCCUUCCUACCUUGUUUGUGUUGUCUUGUUGUAAUAUUUUAUUUUCAAAGAAAGCUAGGUAUUCUUCUGUUCUCAUCAACAAACCCUAAAGGAAGGAAGGUUGAGAAUCACAGUGCAUGCUGUCUAAAUGCUGUCUGAAUACCUUUCUGUGGACUACUCUAAUACACUGGUUGACUCGGCUCCAUGAAUCUUCUGACUCGCAUCAGAACAAGUGAAAUUCUACUGAAUAUGCAGACGAGCGAAAACAUAUUCUGGAUCAUUGGUUUUGCUUUGAUUUAUGACUUUUUUUGUCUGUCUGGGAUCAAUGACAUGUUCCUAAAAAUGUAGGGGAAAAACAGAAUAGGUCUUUCUCUUUCUGUCCUAACAGGACAGGUCAAACAUCCCAUCAGUCCUCUUUCUGUUCUGAUGUCCUAACAGGACAGGUCAAACAUCCCAUCAGUCCUCUUUCUGUUCUGAUGUCCUAAUAGGACAGGUCAAACAUCCCAUCAGUCCUCUUUCUGUUCUGAUGUCCUAACAGGACAGGUCAAACAUCCCAUCAGUCCUCUUUCUGUUCUGAUGUCCUAAUAGGACAGGUCAAACAUCCCAUCUGUCCUCUUUCUGUUCUCAUGUCCUAACAGGACAGGUCAAACAUCCCAUCUGUCCACUUUCUGUUCUGAUGUCCUAACAGGACAGGUCAAACAUCCCAUCUGUCCUCUUUCUGUUCUGAUGUCCUAAUAGGACAGGUCAAACAUCCCAUCUGUCCUCUUUCUGUUCUGAUGUCCUAACAGGACAGAUCAAACAUCCAUCUGUCCUCUUUCUGUUCUCUUGUCCUAAUAGGACAGGUUAAACAUUCAUCUGUCCUCUUUCUGUUCUGAUGUCCUAACAGGACAGGUCAAACAUCCCAUCUGUCCUCUUUCUGUUCUCAUGUCCUAAUAGGACAGGUUAAACAUCCAUCUGUCCUCUUUCUGUUCUGAUGUCCUAAUAGGACAGGUCAAACAUCCCAUCUGUCCUCUUUCUGUUCUGAUGUCCUAACAGGACAGAUCAAACAUCCAUCUGUCCUCUUUCUGUUCUCUUGUCCUAAUAGGACAGGUUAAACAUUCAUCUGUCCUCUUUCUGUUCUGAUGUCCUAACAGAACAGGUCAAACAUCUAUCUGUCCUCUUUCUGUUCUCAUGUCCUAAUAGGACAGGUCAAACAUCCCAUCUGUCCACUUUCUGUUCUGAUGUCCUAACAGGACAGGUCAAACAUCCCAUCUGUCCACUUUCUGUUCUGAUGUCCUAACAGGACAGGUCAAACAUCCCAUCAGUCCUCUUUCUGUUCUGAUGUCCUAAUAGGACAGGUCAAACAUCCCAUCUGUCCUCUUUCUGUUCUCAUGUCCUAAUAGGACAGGUCAAACAUCCCAUCUGUCCACUUUCUGUUCUGAUGUCCUAACAGGACAGGUCAAACAUCCCAUCAGUCCUCUUUCUGUUCUGAUGUCCUAAUAGGACAGGUCAAACAUCCUAUCUGUCCUCUUUCUGUUCUCAUGUCCUAAUAGGACAGGUUAAACAUCCAUCUGUCCUCUUUCUGUUCUCAUGUCCUAAUAGGACAGGUCAAACAUCCCAUCUGUCCACUUUCUGUUCUGAUGUCCUAACAGGACAGGUUAAACAUCCCACCUGGAUGACAAACAUACUGUGGAAGAAUCAAUCAAACGUCUGUAUUAAAUAAACCACAGAACGGUAUUUUAUAUACCUUUGGUUUUUAUAAAUAGCUAUAUAAAAUAACAGUAUAAAUCAUUUGAAUUCAGCAAUGUGGACUAUCGUCCUUUAAUCGCUACUCGUUGUACUUGAACAUAACUUAAGGGAAUAAAGUCAAGACUCUGUUUGAAAAAGUGAUUUUUAUUUUACAUUAACGACUUGUAUUUUUAUUUUUUACAUUUACUGUAGAGGAAUACAACAGUCUAUCAUACAUAAUAGUAGUGUUUACUUUUAGUAAUGUGUUUGUCUUUCAGCAGUAUUUCUCAGUGUGUUUCUACCUUGAAAGAAAUGCUCUGAGGGAAGAGAAGAAAAGGGGUUCCUCGUCAGAAGAGAUAUGGAGGCUUAAAACAAUAUGACAUUACAAAAAAAUAUCAUCUCGGUUUUUACUAAUUCUCCUUUUUAACACGUUGGUUUCUGGGCUGGACCGGUUGCUGGGCUGGACCGGUUGAGUCCUGUGGUGCAUUGUGGUUGUGUAGAAAAAAAACAAAUAGUUUGUCCCAAACGGCACCCUAAUCCCUGUUAUAGUGCACUCCUUUAGAUCAGAACCCAUAGAGCUUUGGUCACAAGCAGUGCACCCUAUAUAGGGAAUAGGGUGCUGUUUCAGACAACCCAUAGCGUUGUUACCCCGAGGACAGCCCCAGGGUUAAAGUGCUUUCAGUACUGAGACCAGAGGUGUUCUGGGUCUUGAGAUGGAUGCAUUGAGCCUCUAGGUGUGUUAGUUCCAGCCUGCAGCUCUUAAGUCUUAAAGCUCUCAUAUACACGGACAACCUUAGAAACACACCUGGGUUCAAAUCCUUUUAAAAUACUGCGUCAAGUGCUUGAUUGAGCUUUGAGUGUUGCAAAAAUAACGAAUAGGAAAGACUGCAAAAUGCCCCGACCUACCCGGCACUCUAGACAGGCUAAAGCAAACGCUCAAAGUAAAUUGAAAGAUUUCAAAUAGUAUCUGAACCCAGGCGUGGCUUGCAAACCAUCCUUGUGGACAUAAUUAGCUGUCUCAGAUAGCUUGGAACUCCCGUGUUCAAGUGCACCUGGAAACACACUUCACAGGGCGAUCUAACCUGUUAGAAAGCUGUCCUUUCUCGCUAGGAAGGAUGUUAUUAAUUAUGUUAUUGAUCUGUCGUCUGUUUUGACUCUCGCUCGUCUGCCGUCUAGGUUGGUACACUUUGAUCACACGUCAAGUUGCAGCACUAACUAAUUCUGUCAACUUCCUGCCAUCAAGUUGCAGCACUAACUAAUUCUGUCAACUUCCUGCCAUCAAGUUGCAGCACUAACUAAUUCUGUCAACUUCCUGCCAUCAAGUUGCAGCACUAACUAAUUCUGUCAACUUCCUGCCAUCAAGUUGCAGCACUAACUAAUUCUGUCAACUUCCUGCCAUCAAGUUGCAGCACUAACUAAUUCUGUCAACUUCCUGCCAUCAAGUUGCAGCACUAACUAAUUCUGUCAACUUCCUGCCAUCAAGUUGCAGCACUGACUAAUUCUGUCAACUUCCUGCCAUCAAGUUGCAGCACUAACUAAUUCUGUCAACUUCCUGCCAUCAAGUUGCAGCACUAACUAAUUCUGUCAACUUCCUGCCAUCAAGUUGCAGCACUAACUAAUUCUGUCAACUUCCUGCCAUCAAGUUGCAGCACUGACUAAUUCUGUCAACUUCCUGCCAUCAAGUUGCAGCACUAACUAAUUAUGUCAACUUCCUGCCAUCAAGUUGCAGCACUGACUAAUUCUGUCAACUUCCUGCCAUCAAGUUGCAGCACUGACUAAUUCUGUCAACUUCCUGCCAUCAAGUUGCAGCACUAACUAAUUCUGUCAACUUCCUGCCAUCAAGUUGCAGCACUAACUAAUUCUGUCAACUUCCUGCCAUCAAGUUGCAGCACUAACUAAUUCUGUCAACUUCCUGCCAUCAAGUUGCAGCACUAACUAAUUCUGUCAACUUCCUGCCAUCAAGUUGCAGCACUAACUAAUUCUGUCAAAUUCCUGCCAUCAAGUUGCAGCACUAACUAAUUCUGUCAACUUCCUGCCAUCAAGUUGCAGCACUGACUAAUUCUGUCAACUUCCUGCCAUCAAGUUGCAGCACUGACUAAUUCUGUCAACUUCCUGCCAUCAAGUUGCAGCACUAACUAAUUCUGUCAACUUCCUGCCAUCACCUAGAUUCAGAGGGGAGAAGGAUAAUCAGGUGAUUAACUACUCAAAGUUUCUCAAUGUGUCACAAUAUUGGUCAACAUACUGUACAAAGUACAUUUCAUUUAGCUUUUUUGUUUUUAAACAUUUUGUUUAUUUUUUUAUAUUGUGACAUUUGUCCAAAAUGAGGACUUUACUGUCCUUUAAAAAAAAAAGAGCAUACUUUUGAAUGAAGGAAAAUGUAAUUGUAUUGUGAGAUACUGUAUUGACCUGUUGAUGAUGAGGCGGUAGGUUGAUCAGAAGUUUCUCCUUUUUUUGGGCUUGUUUGUUUAUCUGAUUGUUCUCAACACUGUGUCUGUACUGCUCUUCUUGGACUUCCUGUACCAAAAGGGAAGUGAAAUAAGCUGUAAAUAAAAGGCAGCAUGUAGAUUCCGUUUAAACGGCUCCGUGUAGUCUUUAGGUUCAUCAAAUAAAAUCAAUAUUUUGUGUUUACAAUCUGUUAA